rnacentral:piRNA from 1 species
UGCGUUCUGUAUUGUAUACCG